rfam:Heligmosomoides polygyrus genome assembly, scaffold: HPBE_scaffold0000458
GCGCCGGUGGUGUAAUGGCGUAGAGCAUUUUCGCCCGGUUAGAGAGAGGUGUGGGUUCGAGUCCCGCCUGGCGCU